AGAGUUUGAUCCUGGCUCAGGAUGAACGCUGGCGGCGUGCCUAACACAUGCAAGUCGAACGAAGCUCCUGCGACAGAUUCCUUCGGGAUGAAGAUGCUUGAGACUUAGUGGCGGACGGGUGAGUAACGCGUGGGUAACCUGCCCUGUACUGGGGGACAACAGUUAGAAAUGACUGCUAAUACCGCAUAAGCCUACAGAGUCGCAUGACUCAGCAGGAAAAAUUCCGGUGGUACAGGAUGGGCCCGCGUCUGAUUAGCUAGUUGGUGAGGUAAUGGCUCACCAAGGCAACGAUCAGUAGCCGGCUUGGAGAGAGUGAACGGCCACAUUGGGACUGAGACACGGCCAAACUCCUACGGGAGCA
rnacentral:rRNA from 1 species